AUUGAACGCUGGCGGCAGGCCUAACACAUGCAAGUCGAACGAGUGGCGGACGGGUGAGUAAUGUCUGGGAAACUGCCUGAUGGAGGGGGAAAACUACGGGAAAAGGUAGCUAAUACCGCUUACCGUCGGAUGUGCCCAGAUGGGAUUAGCUAGUAGGGGGGGUAAAGGCUCACCUAGGCGACGAUCCCUAGCUGGUCUGAGAGGCUGACCGGGCACACUGGAACUUAGACACGGUCCAGACUCGUACGCGAGGCAGCAGUGGGGAAGAUUGCACAAUGGGCGCAAGCCUGAUGCAGCCAUGCCGCGUGUAUGAAGAAGGUUGUCGGGUUGUAAAGUACUGUCAGCGGGGAGGCGUUACCCGCAGAAGAAGCACCGGCUAACUCCGUGCCAGCAGCCGCGGUAAUAC
rnacentral:rRNA from 1 species